rnacentral:rRNA from 1 species
GAUGAACGCUGGCGGCGUGCCUAAUACAUGCAAGUCGAGCGAAGCGCGGGCGGGUGUGUAACACGUGGAUAAACUCCUAUAAGCCUGGGAUCAAUUCGGGGAAACGUAGGUUAAACGGAAACUUAUAUGUGGAUACGCGCGGCAUUAGCUAGUGGGUAAGGUAACGGCUUACCAAGGCAACGAUGCAUAGCCGACCUGAGAGGGUGAUCGGCCACACUGGAACUGGGACACGGCCCAGACUCCUACGGGAGGCAGCAGUGGGGAAUAUUCCGCAAUGGGCGGAAGCCUGACGGAGCAACGCCGCGUGAGUGAAGAAGGUCUUAGGAUCGUAAAGCUCUUUUAGUAGGGAAGCGAUACCUAAACAGAAAGCCCCGGCUAACUCCGUGCCAGCAGCCGCGGUAAUAC